rnacentral:rRNA from 1 species
AGCAUAUCAAUAAGCGGAGGAAAAGAAACCAACAGGGAUUGCCUCAGUAACGGCGAGUGAAGCGGCAACAGCUCAAAUUUGAAAUCUGGCCUCUUGGGGUCCGAGUUGUAAUUUGUAGAGGAUGUUUCGGGUACCGCCUCGGUUUAAAUUUCUUGGAACAGAAUGUCAAAGAGGGUGAGAAUCCCGUCUUGGACCGGCGGUAGGGCCUAUGUGAAACUCCUUCGACGAGUCGAGUUGUUUGGGAAUGCAGCUCAAAAUGGGUGGUAAAUUUCAUCUAAAGCUAAAUAUUGGCCAGAGACCGAUAGCGCACAAGUAGAGUGAUCGAAAGAUGAAAAGCACUUUGAAAAGAGAGUUAAACAGUAUGUGAAAUUGUUGAAAGGGAAGCGCUUGCAACCAGACUUGAGCGCGGCGGUUCCCCCUUGCUUCUGCUUGGGUUACUCCGCCGUGUCCAGGCCAACAUCGGUUCUGGGGGUCGGUCAAAGGCUCUGGGAAUGUAUCUACCCACGGGUAGACUUAUAGACCAGGGUGUCAUGCGACCUCCCGGGACCGAGGAACGCGCUUCGGCUCGGAUGUUGGCGUAAUGGUUGUCAGCGACCCGUCUUGAAACACGGACCAAGGAGUCUAACAUCUAUGCGAGUGUUUGGGUGUCAAACCCGGAACGCGGAAUGAAAGUGAACGGAGGUAGGAAGCUUCGGCUGCACUAUCGACCGAUCCUGAAGUUUACGGAUGGAUUUGAGUAAGAGCAUAGCUGUUGGGACCCGAAAGAUGGUGAACUAUGCCUGAAUAGGGUGAAGCCAGAGGAAACUCUGGUGGAGGCUCGCAGCGGUUCUGACGUGCAAAUCGAUCGUCAAAUUUGGGUAUAGGGGCGAAAGACUAAUCGAACCAUCUGGUAGCUGGUUCCUGC